UCCAGGAUGGCCGAAAGGUUAUGGCAUCCGAUUCUUGAUUAGAUGUGUGGGUUCGAUUCCCACUCCUGGAU